UCUGAGGACACCAAAAAAUUUCUUGUGAGAACCCCUGAGCUAGAUACUGAAGGGUAAUUCUUUUUUUAAACAUAGCUACCACUGUAGGACCACAGCACCACCGCCACCUGGAUAUACCUGAGACCUUGAAAGUUGAUUUUUAGGAUUAGCUUAAGGCAGUGGGACGAUAUUAAUGUCUCCCAAGUCACCUGUCUACUCCUGAUCUUUCGGCAUAAAUGACGAAAGGCGACCAAACAGUGUUGCCUUUUUCUUUGCUGUCUCAUAUCCAUUUCAAGGCCAGUAUCUCUUCCAUCCCUUCUCAAUGUCAGUUCAACCAUCUUCAGGCAUGUCAAGACUGUCACUCCACAUCCAGACUUCCUAGAGUCUGCCUAGCU